rnacentral:lncRNA from 1 species
UGUGUUUGGCACAACAUCACAAAUCCGCAGAACAGAAAACUAGGGUUAACCCAUACGCCUCCCACAACAAAACACCAAAUGGCCCACUACCUCCGGAGCCCAAAACGGAGACGCCGUGGACUAAUCACACCGCCACGGAAAGUGUCAUGUCUCUCGUGCCAAGACGACAUGCCUGUGGUACCCCCACAGGUGGUUAUAGCUCUGGUAUACCCUACGGUAUAUUCUAACAAAAUACCAUGUCACAACACAUGCGACAUAAUACCAACAAAAAGGGUUCUAUAUGUACAUGUUGAACCAAAUCAAAUUAUAGUCACAAUGUCUCAAAAAGAAGGUAGCAACAUGUACCGCUCUAGAAUUAUUAAAAAUAAAUAUUAAACAUGAUAACCUAAUUCAAAGAGUACAAAUACGAGUCCAAUGUGUCAACUCCAAAAUGAAAGUAAUGUAUGAAUUUCACAGGAAACAAUUAUGUGAAAUCAUAACAGAAUUCGAAACAAGGGACAAGACGAACAAAUCAAAUUUAACAAGAGUCUCGCUGAACAAAUCAUGGAAUAUGUACCAAUUUUAAUAGAAGGAAAUUAGUUUAAAUUACUGAAUAUAACCAAAGUAUCAAUUAUCAAAUUUCUAUUUAAGAAUUCCAAUAGGAUUAUAAGAAAAUAAAUGACGAUAUAUCACGAGAUACAAAGAAUGCAACUACAAUCAAAGGAGUGGAGUACGGAAUCCGUACCUGGAUUGAGCAAACGUAAUACCCAAAGUUAUUAUCCCAAUAUAUUUCGUUAAAUUCCUUCCGUCCGAUCUAAUAAAAAUAAUAAUAAUACAAUUAUAAGUUACCUAAUAAUUAUAAUUAUACUAAUAUGAAAUUAAUUCCUCCAAUUACAUCAAUUUUACAAAACAAUCUAAAUUAAAUUAUCAUUUAUAAUCUAAUCAUUUUUUUUUAUUAUUUUUAACAUACCAGUAAUCCUAAUAUUAUAUAUAUAUAUAUACACAACAUCAUUCACAAAAGAAAGUUCAGCAGCAACUUUGCUUCUUUCACAUGCCACGAUUUAUCAUUAUUUAAUUUUAUUAAGCUAGCAUAUUACCAAUCAUUAUAUGUAUACUGCCAUCUACUUACAAUUAUAGACUGCAACUAGGAAAAUUACACUCAUCGAAAAGAAUUGGCAACCAACAACAAUCUGUCCUCCUGCGCCGCCACACUGCUCAGUUUUCUUUUCUUCUUUUCGUGUAAGACUUAUUAUGGGUAAAUUUAGGUUUUGCUUAUUUAUACACUUAAAAACAAAUUUUAUUAAUUAAUAUAUAUUUAUUAACUCCCCAACUUUUAAUAGGAUUUUAAAAUUACACAAUUAUAAUUUAGACCCAUUUAGUUUGAAGCCCAAUCUCACCAAUAUAAUUUAUCCAUCACUUAUUAAUAUGUAUUAGCCCAUAUAAAUUAAAUGACCACUUUGAUCCAAAUAAAAUACAAAGUCCAAUUAAUAUGUUCUAAAACAAAAUAAUUUUUAUUAUUUAAAAUUUAUUUAUUUAUCAUUAUUAUUAUUAUUAUUUUUUUAUCGGGUAUUACAUCACCUACCGCUUAAAAAGAAUUCCGUCCCCGGAAUCAAAAGAAUGAACGUACCUGAUUAUCAAAAGAUGUGGAUACUCCGUUCGAAUAGACUCCUCUAUCUCCCAAGUAGCUUUUCGCUCCGAAUAAUUUUACCACAAGACUUUAACAAAAGGAAUUAUCUUUCUCAAUUAUAAUUUAAUCAGUUAUUUAAUUACCAACUAAAAGAAUUUAAUUUUCCAAACAAAACAAGGAAGAAAAGAGAGAAACAAAAAUCAUUUACCUUUUUCUAAUUUAAAUACAAUUGUAUACAAUAAAAUCAAUUAAUAUUUAAUCAAAAAAAAAUAUAGGUUAUUACAUUUUUCACCCCUUAAAAAUAAUUCCAUCCUCGGAAUUCAAAUAAGAUGCAAAUUAAAAAUAAUUUAGUUACGACGUAGCACCGCCAUUUGUAACGAUCAAGUCUGGUAAGUUCGUCGGUCCACACAAUUAUCCAUGUAUUCGUAAAAUUUUCGUCAGCUAUCGUGUCAAGCCUUGGCCGGUAAGGUUCCUCGCGUUAAAUCACAUGAUCCACUGUUGUUGCGGGCCCCCCGUUAAUAUCUUUGAGUUUCAUUCUUUUAAACGUACUCUUCGGAACAUAAUUCGAAAUCACAAAAAAUUUCUUCAUCUAAAUACGAUUCGAAUGCCCAAAAUAUUUAAAAUAAAUUUUAAUUCAUAAAACGUUUAUUUUCCACGCAUGAUAAAGAUCUAACAAAUUAUUUUUUUUUUAUUUUACAUAAAUUCAUACAAAACUCUAAAGACAUCAGAUAAACAAAACAACUAUGCAACCUAUAUUACCAACUCUCCCCAAGUCCUCAAGGGCUUCAAAAUAUCUCAUCCUCAAUUUGAACUAUUCAUCAAAUAAUAUUACACCAAAGAAUAUACUACUAAUAUCUCUUAUCACCAACUCUCCUAAGUCCUUAAGAGUUUCAAAAUAUCAUAACCUCAAAUCAAAUAAAUUCUCAAAUAUUAUAAUACCAAAAUAUACUACUAAAAUCUCUUUAUCACCAUAUCCAACUCCAAGUCACAUAUUCUACCAUCUGCAUAAGCGAACUACAACUAUUCAAGAUCUUCAAUAAUCAAUCGAAUUUCGUCACUUACUAUCUAAUCAUAUAAUAAAUCAAUCCUUAUUGCAAACCUUAAUCCAAUAAAUUUCAAUGUCUCCCCAUACUAUCACAAAGAAAGUUCAUAGAACAUAACUCCAAUAUCUUACUAGAAAAAUAGCCAUAAAAUUGAUCAUUAACUCCAAAUGAUUAAACUAAUUACCUCGAAUAUCAACAACUCAAAUUACAAAAAAAAAAUCCUCUACACUUAAUAAUUUUCACCUUAUCAUUGUAUCCCAUCAAUACACAUACCUCAAAUUAUCCAAGAGCUUAACAUAACCAAAAUCAUCAUCAAAAUCAAUCCUCAAUUCUAAGAUCAUAAUAAAUUGUCACCAAAAACAAUUCUAAAAAAAUAAUUUGCCAAAAUCAAAAACUCGCUUAUACAAAUACUCACAUCAUAAUCAUAUAAUCAUUUCUUAACUGUACAAAAUAUCCAAUCACAAUCACCAUCACAUAUUUAUUCUCCUUAAUGAUAUCCAAUCACAAUCCUUAACUAAUAUUAUUGCUCCAAUGCAUAACAAUAAUAAUCUUAACAAUGUUUCUCACAUUUCUCAAAUCAACUACAACUCGAGGAGAGAAUGACACUUGGUCAAAAUCAAGACCAACCAAAUAAAGAACAAAAUCGAAUAAAAUUCCUACGACGUCUACCCAGAGAUUUUCCCACAACUCACAGGUCAAACCUAAAUAGGUUUUCUACAAGAAAUAACCUAAGCUUUGAUACCAUCUAUGUAACACCCCCUUCCCAAAAAAGAAUGGGAGGUCACGUGCACAGCACAACAAACCUCAAAAAUAAAUAAACAGAGCACUAACAACCUCAAAAUAUUAAUAGUGGUGAUCCAUUAAUAAAGUACUAAGUACAUUUCUCCAAACAGAGUCAAAAUAAUCAAAACUUAAAAUUCGAAACAACCUAGAUGGUGAAAGACAAUACUCUCAUCACACUAGCCCUGAAUCACCCCUGAAAACCUGCCGGAAGAAAAACACAGCAUGAGCCAAUUGCCCAGUACGGAUACAGAUAUACAAAAGAUAUACAACUGAUAUACGAAAACAACUGAGACAAAAUACUGAACAAAGCCUCGAGUGCAAAUACGAACGAAAUAUAAUAUCCAAAGAUCUGAAUGGAAUAUAUCUGAAUCAACAUAAUUGACGAAACCAAUAAAAGAAUAAAGAAAUAACGAACUGAAGUAACUAACUCAAUGACUUGAACUGAACAGAAACCAACAAAACUGAUCCAAUAAAAUAAU